rnacentral:rRNA from 1 species
GACGAACGCUGGCGGCGUGCUUAACACAUGCAAGUCGAACGGUGAAGCGCCUUCCUUUUUGGUGGGUGUGGAUGAGUGGCGAACGGGUGAGUAACACGUUAGUAACCUGCCCCCUUCUUCUGGAUAACCGCAUGAAAGUGUGGCUAAUACGGGAUAUUCUGGGUCUGUCGCAUGAUGGGUCUGGGAAAGAUAUUGUUUCGGUGGGGGAUGGGCUCGCGGCCUAUCAGCUUGUUGGUGGGGUGAUGGCCUACCAAGGCGGUGACGGGUAGCCGGCCUGAGAGGGUGGACGGUCACACUGGGACGGAGACACGGCCCAGACUCCUACGGGAGGCAGCAGUGGGGAAUAUUGCACAAUGGGCGCAAGCCUGAUGCAGCGACGCCGCGUGAGGGAUGGAGGCCUUCGGGUUGUGAACCUCUUUCGCCAGUGAAGCAGGCCUGCCUCGUUUGUGGGUGGGUUGACGGUAGCUGGAUAAGAAGCGCCGGCUAACUACGUG